GCCUUCAUGAAGCCGGAAUUGCUAGUAAUGGCAGGUCAGCAUACUGCCGUGAAUACGUUCCCGGGCCUUGUACACACCGCCCGUCACACCAUGAGAGUUGGGAAUACCCGAAGCCUGUGAGCUAACGUUAAGAGGCAGCAGUCGAAGGUAGAAUCAAUGAUUGGGGUGAAGUCGUAACAAGGUACC
rnacentral:rRNA from 1 species